AGCAGCCGCGGUAAUUCCAGCUCCAAUAGCGUAUAUUAAAGUUGUUGCAGUUAAAAAGCUCGUAGUUGAAUUUCGAGACCGGCUUACUGGUCGUGCUAUUGUACGUACUGGUAUAAUCGGUUUCUCCUUUCUGACGAACUAUAAUGCCAUUAAUUUGGUGUUUUAGGGAAUCAGGACUGUUACUUUGAAAAAAU
rnacentral:rRNA from 1 species